rnacentral:rRNA from 1 species
GAUGAACGCUAGCGGCAGGCUUAAUACAUGCAAGUCGAGGGGCAGCGCAGUGUAGCAAUACAUGGGCGGCGACCGGCAAACGGGUGCGGAACACGUACAGAACCUUCCUUCGAGCGGGGAAUAGCCCAGAGAAAUUUGGAUUAAUACCCCAUAGUAUAGUGGAGAGGCAUCUCUUUACUAUUAAAGAUUUAUCACUUGAAGAUGGCUGUGCGGCUGAUUAGGUAGUGGCGGGGUAACGGCCCACCAAGCCUGCGAUCAGUAACUGGUGUGAGAGCACGACCAGUCACACGGGCACUGAGACACGGGCCCGACUCCUACGGGAGGCAGCAGUAAGGAAUAUUGGUCAAUGGACGAAAGUCUGAACCAGCCAUGCCGCGUGGAGGAUGAAGGUCCUCUGGAUUGUAAACUUCUUUUAUCUGGGACGAAAAAGGCUUUUCUAAGUCGUCUGACGGUACCAGAUGAAUAAGCACCGGCUAACUCCGUGCCAGCAGCCGCA